AGGGCGCACGGUGGAUGCCUUGGCACUAGAAGCCGAUGAAGGACGUUACUAACGACGAUAUGCUUUGGGGAGCUGUAAGUAAGCUUUGAUCCAGAGAUUUCCGAAUGGGGAAACCCAGCAUGAGUUAUGUCAUGUUAUCGAUAUGUGAAUACAUAGCAUAUCAGAAGGCACACCCGGAGAACUGAAACAUCUUAGUACCCGGAGGAAGAGAAAGAAAAUUCGAUUCCCUUAGUAGCGGCGAGCGAAACGGGAAGAGCCCAAACCAACAAGCUUGCUUGUUGGGGUUGUAGGACACUCUAUACGGAGUUACAAAGGACGACAUUAGACGAAUCAUCUGGAAAGAUGAAUCAAAGAAGGUAAUAAUCCUGUAGUCGAAAAUGUUGUCUCUCUUGAGUGGAUCCUGAGUACGACGGAGCACGUGAAAUUCCGUCGGAAUCUGGGAGGACCAUCUCCUAAGGCUAAAUACUCUCUAGUGACCGAUAGUGAACCAGUACCGUGAGGGAAAGGUGAAAAGCACCCCGGAAGGGGAGUGAAAUAGAACCUGAAACCGUGUGCUUACAAGUAGUCAGAGCCCGUUAAUGGGUGAUGGCGUGCCUUUUGUAGAAUGAACCGGCGAGUUACGAUUUGAUGCAAGGUUAAGCAGUAAAUGUGGAGCCGUAGCGAAAGCGAGUCUGAAUAGGGCGUUUAGUAUUUGGUCGUAGACCCGAAACCAGGUGAUCUACCCUUGGUCAGGUUGAAGUUCAGGUAACACUGAAUGGAGGACCGAACCGACUUACGUUGAAAAGUGAGCGGAUGAACUGAGGGUAGCGGAGAAAUUCCAAUCGAACCUGGAGAUAGCUGGUUCUCUCCGAAAUAGCUUUAGGGCUAGCCUCAAGUGAUGAUUAUUGGAGGUAGAGCACUGUUUGGACGAGGGGCCCCUCUCGGGUUACCGAAUUCAGACAAACUCCGAAUGCCAAUUAAUUUAACUUGGGAGUCAGAACAUGGGUGAUAAGGUCCGUGUUCGAAAGGGAAACAGCCCAGACCACCAGCUAAGGUCCCAAAAUAUAUGUUAAGUGGAAAAGGAUGUGGCGUUGCCCAGACAACUAGGAUGUUGGCUUAGAAGCAGCCAUCAUUUAAAGAGUGCGUAAUAGCUCACUAGUCGAGUGACACUGCGCCGAAAAUGUACCGGGGCUAAACAUAUUACCGAAGCUGUGGAUUGUCCUUUGGACAAUGGUAGGAGGGCGUUCUAAGGGCGUUGAAGCAUGAUCGUAAGGACAUGUGGAGCGCUUAGAAGUGAGAAUGCCGGUGUGAGUAGCGAAAGACGGGUGAGAAUCCCGUCCACCGAUUGACUAAGGUUUCCAGAGGAAGGCUCGUCCGCUCUGGGUUAGUCGGGUCCUAAGCUGAGGCCGACAGGCGUAGGCGAUGGAUAACAGGUUGAUAUUCCUGUACCACCUAUAAUCGUUUUAAUCGAUGGGGGGACGCAGUAGGAUAGGCGAAGCGUGCGAUUGGAUUGCACGUCUAAGCAGUAAGGCUGAGUAUUAGGCAAAUCCGGUACUCGUUAAGGCUGAGCUGUGAUGGGGAGAAGACAUUGUGUCUUCGAGUCGUUGAUUUCACACUGCCGAGAAAAGCCUCUAGAUAGAAAAUAGGUGCCCGUACCGCAAACCGACACAGGUAGUCAAGAUGAGAAUUCUAAGGUGAGCGAGCGAACUCUCGUUAAGGAACUCGGCAAAAUGACCCCGUAACUUCGGGAGAAGGGGUGCUCUUUAGGGUUAACGCCCAGAAGAGCCGCAGUGAAUAGGCCCAAGCGACUGUUUAUCAAAAACACAGGUCUCUGCUAAACCGUAAGGUGAUGUAUAGGGGCUGACGCCUGCCCGGUGCUGGAAGGUUAAGAGGAGUGGUUAGCUUCUGCGAAGCUACGAAUCGAAGCCCCAGUAAACGGCGGCCGUAACUAUAACGGUCCUAAGGUAGCGAAAUUCCUUGUCGGGUAAGUUCCGACCCGCACGAAAGGCGUAACGAUUUGGGCACUGUCUCAACGAGAGACUCGGUGAAAUCAUAGUACCUGUGAAGAUGCAGGUUACCCGCGACAGGACGGAAAGACCCCGUGGAGCUUUACUGUAGCCUGAUAUUGAAAUUCGGCACAGCUUGUACAGGAUAGGUAGGAGCCUUUGAAACGUGAGCGCUAGCUUACGUGGAGGCGCUGGUGGGAUACUACCCUAGCUGUGUUGGCUUUCUAACCCGCACCACUUAUCGUGGUGGGAGACAGUGUCAGGCGGGCAGUUUGACUGGGGCGGUCGCCUCCUAAAAGGUAACGGAGGCGCUCAAAGGUUCCCUCAGAAUGGUUGGAAAUCAUUCAUAGAGUGUAAAGGCAUAAGGGAGCUUGACUGCGAGACCUACAAGUCGAGCAGGGUCGAAAGACGGACUUAGUGAUCCGGUGGUUCCGCAUGGAAGGGCCAUCGCUCAACGGAUAAAAGCUACCCCGGGGAUAACAGGCUUAUCUCCCCCAAGAGUUCACAUCGACGGGGAGGUUUGGCACCUCGAUGUCGGCUCAUCGCAUCCUGGGGCUGUAGUCGGUCCCAAGGGUUGGGCUGUUCGCCCAUUAAAGCGGUACGCGAGCUGGGUUCAGAACGUCGUGAGACAGUUCGGUCCCUAUCCGUCGUGGGCGUAGGAAAUUUGAGAGGAGCUGUCCUUAGUACGAGAGGACCGGGAUGGACAUACCUCUGGUGUACCAGUUGUCGUGCCAACGGCAUAGCUGGGUAGCUAUGUGUGGACGGGAUAAGUGCUGAAAGCAUCUAAGCAUGAAGCCCCCCUCAAGAUGAGAUUUCCCAACUUCGGUUAUAAGAUCCCUCAAAGAUGAUGAGGUUAAUAGGUUCGAGGUGGAAGCAUGGUGACAUGUGGAGCUGACGAAUACUAAUCGAUCGAAGACUUAAUC
rnacentral:rRNA from 1 species